rnacentral:lncRNA from 1 species
CCGCUACCCGCCCGCGGUUACAGGUGGCCGCCUGUCCCUGCCGGGCACCCGGAAGGUGGGAGGUCGGGCGUGACCAGUUUGGGGCAGCUCGGGAGAGACUGCUGUGCUUGUUCACAGAGGGAGAACACAUUCAGCCCCCUAAUGGAAAACUUCCGUAGAAGAUAAAGUAUCCACUCGAGGAUGCCCGCUCCCUGCUGGCCCUGGGCCCCAGGUGCCCAUGCGUUAUGAGUAGGUAGUUAACACCUGUGGCAGCAGACAGAGGACAUCACUGAGGAUGGGCAAGUCUGCUGAGUCAGGCCUUGCUCAACAAGGGAAGGAGCCACCUGCAUCAGCAGAGACGGGCAGGUGAGGGCAGGCACAGCUGUUCCCACCUUGAUGCCUUCAUAGAACAGGCAUGUCUUAGUCACUUUCCUCAUCGCUGGGACACAGUGCCUGACACUCACAAUCUACAGGAGUUUAUUUUGGCUCACGUUUCAGUCCACGGCUGGUCGGCUUCAAAGAAGGGGCAUGGUGGAGAAAAGCUGCUCACAUCAUGGCGACCAGGAAGCAGAGGCAGAAGAGAGGAGCCAGGAAGGGAGAUGAGCCCUCCCAGGCCAUUUGAGACCCCACCUGGCAGCAAGUCAGCUAUGAGCCCGUGACCCACACCUUCCAGAGGUCCCACCUAUGGUCACAUGAGGCUGUGGGGGAUAUCCAGAUAUAAACUACAGCAAACCACCAGUGUUUGCCUCCUUACACACUCUAGUAAGGGAAACACAAAACUUCAGGAUAUAAAACUAACACAUGAAGCAAUAGGUUCCUGCACACCAAUAAUCAGCCCACUGAGAAAGAAAUCAGAAAAACAGCUCCACUCAGUAGCUUCAAAAAAAUUUAAGUACCUAGGAACCUAACCAAGGAAGUUAGUGACCUCUACAAUGAAAACUACUGAAACUGAAGAAAAACAGAAAAAACUAGAAAGUGGAAAGAGACCCUCUGUUCAUGGAUGAGAAGAAAUAAUACUGUGAAAAUGGCUAUAUUACUAAAAGCAAUCUACAGAUUGAAUGAAGUUCCUAUUAAAAUACCAACAACAUUCUUUACAGAACAACAACAAAAAAAUCCUAAAGGCCAUAUCUAGAAUAAGAAUAGCCAAGCAGUCCUGAGCAAAAAGAGCAAAGCUGGAGGCCUCACAAGACAAGGCUCAGCUUACGUGGCAGAGCUGGAGUACCAAAGACACCACGGUACCAGCAGAAAGCAGACACAGAUCCACAGACUGCAGCGGAGGGCACAGAAACAAACCUGUGCGUCUGCUGCCAUCUGACUUCAGUCAGAGGGGCCAAAACCAGGCUGGAGAAAAGACAGCCUCCGUCACAGACAGUGCAGGGGAGACUGGACACCCAUGUAGAGAAGACUGAAAGAUCCCUGUCUCCCACCCUCUACUGAAGUCAAAUCAAAAUGGAUUAGAGACCCAGAUAUAAAACCCGAAACUUUGAAACUGCUGGGAGAGAACAGAGGAAACACUUGAAACCAUAGGCACAAAGACUUCCUGACUUGGCUCCAAUAGCCCCAGAAAUAAUAUCAAGAAUCAACAAAUGAGCCGCAUGUGGUGGUGCAUGCCUGUGAUCCGAGCACUCCAGAGGCUGAGGCAGGAGGAUCACAGAUGAAGCCACUCUGAAUUAAUUAAAAAUAAAAAUAAAUAAAAUAAAAUAAAAUGGGACUACAUCAAAAAGCCUCCAGGGCCGGGGAUUUAGCUCAGUGGCACCAUGGCCGGCCUCAAAAGCCCAAGGUCCUGAGUUCAAUGUCCAGUACCAAAAAAAAG